rnacentral:rRNA from 1 species
UACGAGGGGUGCAAGCGUUGUUCGGAAUCACUGGGCGUAAAGGGAGCGCAGGCGGAAGCUCAAGCGGAUUGUACAAUACCGGGGCCCAACCCCGGACCUGCAGUCCGAACUGGGUUUCUUGGAUAGUUCAGGGGCAAGCGGAAUUCCUGGUGUAGCGGUGGAAUGCGUAGAGAUCAGGAAGAACACCGAUGGCGAAGGCAGCUUGCUGGGGACUAAUCGACGCUCAUGCUCGAAAGUGCGGGUAGCAAACAGG